rnacentral:rRNA from 1 species
GAAGCUCUAGGGUUGUAAGCACUUUCAGUAGGAGGAUGCCAGAAGUUAAUAGCUUCUUGGAUUGACGUUACCUACAGAAGCAGCACCGGCUAACUCCGUGCCAGCAGCCGCG